rnacentral:rRNA from 1 species
CUUGUUUUGAUUUGAAGUCGGUGCCUGCCCACUGAGGAGUUGAAUGGCCGCGGUAUAUUGACCGUGCAAAGGUAGCAUAAUCAUUAGUCUUUUAAUUGGAGGCUGGAAUGAAUGGUUUGACGAAAUAAUAACUGUCUCGGAGUGAUGUAUUGAAUUUUACUUUUGAGUUAAAAGGCUCAAAUGAAAAUAGGGGACGAGAAGACCCUAUAGAUCUUAAUAUUAUUAUAUUGAAAUUUAUGUUUGGUGGUUUUUUAUAGAUGUUAAUAUAUUGUAUUUGGUUGGGGUGACAAGAGAAUAAUUUAACUUCUUUAUGUUUAACUAUGAUGAUUGGUUAAUUGAUCCUGUAUUAUGGAAUGAAGAUAAAGAUACCUUAGGGAUAACAGCGUAAUGUUAUUGGAGAGUUCAUAUUGAUAAUAAAGAUUGCGACCUCGAUGUUGGAUUAAGAAGAUUGUUAAUGCAGGAGCUUAAUAUAUUGGUCUGUUCGACCAUUGAAAUNCUUACCNUGAAUCUGA